AGUGAUGUAUUCAACGAGUUUAUAGCCUUGGCCGACAGGCCCGGGUAAUUUUUGAAAUUUCAUCGUGAUGGGGAUAGAUCAUUGCAAUUCUCGGUCUUCAAU
rnacentral:ncRNA from 1 species